GGCCUGGCCUCCUUUACACUCGUCUCCUCCCGUCCACCAACUUUAUUUCUACUCGCUGUUCGGUCUAAAAUAAGCAACAGGAACGAUCGUCUGUCGGGGAGGCAGGAUGUAUCUGAACAUCUCCAUGCACGGAGGAAACAGGCCCCUCGGCCCACCGAGUCCGCACCGACCAGCAAUCCCCAACAUUAGCGCUAUCCUACACACAAGGGACAAUAUAUUAUUAUUUUUAAACAAAGCUGUACAAACCUGUACCUCUUUGGAGUGUGGGAGGAAACCGGAGCACCCAGAGAAAACCCACGCAGGUCAUAGGGAGAACGUGCAAACUCCGAACAGACAGCAUUGAAGUCAGGAUCAAACCUGGGUCUCUGGCGCUGUGCGGCAGCACCGCUGCGCCACUGUGCUGCCCAAUAUCUGGCAACUGAACCGUCCUCUCACCCUUCGGCCGAACGCACCAUGGGAACUACACUCAUGCCCCUGAGGAUCUAUACACCAGGAGGUGCAGAUUCAGAGCCAGCAAGGUCAUGAAGGACCCCUACCACCCCAGCAAUGGACUGUUCCAGCUACUACGGUCAGGCAAGCGCCUCCACUGUCACACUGUGAAAACAGAGAGGAUGAGACAGAGUUUCUUCCCACAGACCAUCAGGACUGCAAACUCUGAUCUCACCAGGGCAUAAAUACUGUUGUUUCUUUUUUUAAUGUAAAUACUGGUUUUGUUCUGUUCUGUUGUUCUGCUGUUUUGCACAAUCCCACAGGCAUUGCCACUUUCAAUUCCCUGUACAUCUUGUAUGUGUAUGUGACAAAUAAAGUUGACUUGACUUGACCAGCUAAAGAGUGGUCUUGACCUCCCAUCUACCUCAUUGGAGAUCCUCGGACUAUCUUUAACUAGACUUUAUUUUGCACGAAACAUGAUUCCCUUUAACCUGUAUCUGUACACUGUGGACGACUUGAUUGUAAUCAUGUAUUGUGUUUUCUUCAACUGAAUAGCAAGCAAAUAAAAGCUUUUCACUGUA